rnacentral:sRNA from 1 species
GGAUACCAGGAUGGUGUCCCAAGUCAGGCUCCCUGCUCAGCAGGAAGCCUGCUUCUCCCUCUCCCUCUGCUUGUGUUCCCUCUCUUGCUGUGUCUCUGUCAAAUAAAUAAAAUCUUAAAAAAAAAAAAAAAAGUUCUAGAUCUGGGGGGAAAAAAAAAAGGAUGUGCAAGUAGCUACACUCCCCUGCUAGAAUGCCCAAGCAAGCUCUUAAGGUCCAUUUAUAGGAGAAUAUAGGGCAGUCAAGAUUCCAAGACUUCAGACACAUCCAAACGAGGUGCUGCAUGUGGCAGCCUUCCUUUCUUU